rnacentral:rRNA from 1 species
CCUACGGGGGGCAGCAGUGAGGAAUAUUGGUCAAUGGGCGCAAGCCUGAACCAGCCAAGUCGCGUGAGGGCUGACGGUCCUAUGGAUUGUAAACCUCUUUUGUCGGGGAGCAAGGCCCGCCACGUGUGGCUGGAAGGAGAGUACCCGAAGAAAACGCAUCGGCAAACUCCGUGCCAGCAGCCGCGGUAAUACGGAGGAUGCGAGCGUUAUCCGGAGUUAUUGGGUUUAAAGGGUGCGUAGGCGGAAGGUUAAGUCAGCGGUCAAAUGUCGGUGCUCAACACCGGCCUGCCGUUGAAACUGGUCGUCUUGAGUGAGCGAGAAGUAUGCGGAAUGCGUGGUGUAGCGGUGAAAUGCAUAGAUAUCACGCAGAACUCCGAUUGCGAAGGCAGCAUACCGGCGCUCAACUGACGCUGAGGCACGAAAGCGUGGGGAUCGAACAGGAUUAGAUACCCCUGUAGUC